UGUGUAGGCGGUUCCUUAAGUUUGGUGUGAAAUCUCCCGGCUUAACCGGGAGGGUGCGCCGAAUACUGAGGGACUAGAGUGCGGGAGAGGAAAGUGGAAUUCCUGGUGUAGCGGUGAAAUGCGUAGAUAUCAGGAGGAACACCGGUGGUGUAGACGGCUUUCUGGACCGUAACUGACGCUGAGACACGAAAGCGUGGGUAGCAAACAGGAUUAGAUACCCUGGUAGUCCACGCCCUAAACGAUGCAUAUUUGGUGUGGGUCAUUCAGUUGAUCCGUGCCGGAGCUAACGCGUUAAAUAUGCCGCCUGGGGAGUACAGUCGCAAGGCUGAA
rnacentral:rRNA from 1 species